rnacentral:lncRNA from 1 species
UCCAUAAUCCAUACAUAUAACACAUCCAUAAUCCAUACAUCGUAUAUAUAACAUCCUUAAUCCAUACAUCAUAUAUAUAACAUCCUUAAUCCAUACAGCAUAUAACACCUCUAUAAUCCAUACAACAUAUAGCACAUCCAUGUAUAUAUAGCAUAAUCCAUAGCACAUCCAUGUAUAUAUAGCAUAAUCCAUAGCACAUCCAUGUCAUAAUAUUUGGCAUUACUACAUAAAAUUUGGCAUUACGAUAAAUGUCUUCAUGUCAAUAUCGUAGUCCAAAUA